rnacentral:rRNA from 1 species
AACGAACGCUGGCGGCAGGCUUAACACAUGCAAGUCGAGCGCCCCGCAAGGGGAGCGGCAGACGGGUGAGUAACGCGUGGGAAUCUACCUUUUGCUACGGAAUAACGCAGGGAAACUUGUGCUAAUACUGUAUGUGCCCUUCGGGGGAAAGAUUUAUCGGCAAAGGAUGAGCCCGCGUUGGAUUAGCUAGUUGGUGGGGUAAAAGCCUACCAAGGCGACGAUCCAUAGCUGGUCUGAGAGGAUGAUCAGCCACAUUGGGACUGAGACACGGCCCAAACUCCUACGGGAGGCGGCAGUGGGGAAUAUUGGACAAUGGGCGCAAGCCUGAUCCAGCCAUGCCGCGUGAGUGAUGAAGGCCUUAGGGUUGUAAAGCUCUUUCACCGGUGAAGAUAAUGACGGUAACCGGAGAAGAAGCCCCGGCUAACUUCGUGCCAGCCGCCGCGGUAA